CCUACGGGAGGCAGCAGUGGGGAAUAUUGGACAAUGGGCGAAAGCCUGAUCCAGCAAUUCCGCGUGUGUGAAGAAGGCCUUCGGGUUGUAAAGCACUUUAGUGGGGGAAGAAACAGCUUGGCCACACCAAGCCUUGACGGUACCCCAAGAAUAAGCACCGGCUAACUCUGUGCCAGCAGCCGCGGUAAUACAGAGGGUGCAAGCGUUAAUCGGAUUUACUGGGCGUAAAGGGUGCGUAGGUGGCUAUUUAAGUCGGAUGUGAAAGCCCGGGGCGUCAACCUCGGAAUUGCAUUCGAUACUGAGUGGCUAGAGUUCGGUAGAGGGCGGCGGAAUUUCCGGUGUAGCGGUGAAAUGCGUAGAUAUCGGAAGGAACAUCAAUGGCGAAGGCAGCCGCCUGGGCCUGGACUGACACUGAGGCACGAAAGCGUGGGUAGCAAACAGGAUUAGAUACCCUGGUAGUCCACGCCGUAAACGAUGAGAACUUGACGUUGGUUCGUUUUACGAAUCGGUGUCGCNNUACGACGAUAGUUACUCCGUCCGUCGGGUAGGUACGGCCGGCGACGGUUAGGUAACGUACGUAAGUAAGUAGUUAGUUACGUGNGAGAGCGACGACGACGACGACGGAGGAGGAG
rnacentral:rRNA from 1 species